AUGUCAAGUAACAUUCCAAGAGUCGAGGAGUUUUUCCUAGAGUUUUUAAAGGUUCAUGAUACAUCAGGAUUAGGGCUUUUUAAUGUGUUGAUGGAUACAUUGGACUCUCUUGAUCUGGACGUUGCUGAUGUAAGAGGGCAAGGUUAUGACAAUGGUUCUAACAUGAAGGGAAAAAAUCAAGGUGUUCAGAAUCGCUUGCUUGAAGUUAAUCCCAAAGCAUUAUAUAUGCCAUGUGCAUGUCAUAGUUUGAAUCUCACUCUUUGUGAUAUGGCAAAAUCUUGCGAACAGUGGAAGAUUUUGCUUGAUAAUGUUCCAGGUCUGACUCUCAAACCUUUGUCUGAUACUCGUUGGGAGAGCCGAAUAAAGAGUGUGCAACCUAUAAGGUACCAAACUUCCCAAGUAAGAUCAGCUUUGAAGGAGUUGGAGAAGACUGCUAGGGAGGAUAAUGAUCCAGCUACAUUUUCUAUUAAUAUGGUGAGCAAAAUGUUACAAGAAAAAAUGGUGUGCAUUGAUGCUACUCUAAAACACAUUGAUGGGGUCAAGUCAUAUUUUCAGAAGUAUGGAGAUGAAGGCUUCAAUUCUAGUAUUGAAAGUGCCAAGCCAUUGCGUUGGAUAUGGGCAUAG
rnacentral:rRNA from 1 species